rnacentral:rRNA from 1 species
ACGAACGCUGGCGGCAGGCUUAACACAUGCAAGUCGAGCGCCCCGCAAGGGGAGCGGCGCACGGGUGAGUAACGCGUGGGAAUAUGCCCUUCGGUUCGGAAUAACACAGGGAAACUUGUGCUAAUACCGGAUACGAUCUACGGAUGAAAGAUUUAUCGCCGAGGGAGUAGCCCGCGUAGGAUUAGCUAGUUGGUGAGGUAAUGGCUCACCAAGGCGACGAUCCUUAGCUGGUCUGAGAGGAUGAUCAGCCACACUGGGACUGAGACACGGCCCAGACUCCUACGGGAGGCAGCAGUGGGGAAUAUUGGACAAUGGGCGAAAGCCUGAUCCAGCCAUGCCGCGUGAGUGAUGAAGGCCUUAGGGUUGUAAAGCUCUUUCGUCGGGGAAGAUAAUGACGGUACCCGAAGAAGAAGCCUCGGCUAACUCCGU